rnacentral:rRNA from 1 species
GACGAACGCUGGCGGCGUGCUUAACACAUGCCAGUCGAACGGAAAGGCCCUGCUUUUGUGGGGUGCUCGAGUGGCGAACGGGUGAGUAACACGUGAGUAACCUGCCCUUGUCUUUGGGAUAACUUCAGGAAACUGGGGCUAAUGCCGGAUAGGAGCUCCUGCUGCAUGGUGGGGGUUGGAAAGUUUCGGCGGUUGGGGAUGGACUGGCGGCUUAUCGGCUUGUUGGUGGGGUAGUGGCUUACAAAGUCUUUGACGGGUAGCCGGCCUGAGAGGGUGAACGGGGUCCAUGGGCCUAAGAGAGGGCGCAGACGCCUACGGUAGGCAGCAGGGGGGAAUAUUGCACAAUGGGCGGAAGCGUGAUGCAGCAACGCCGCGUGCGGGAUGACGGCCUUCGGGUUGUGAACCGCUGUCGCCUGUGACGAAGCGGGAGUGACGGUAAUGGGUAAAGAAGCACCGGCUAACUACGUG